UCCUAUAUAAUCUAGGCGGUUAGGAUAGCUGGCUCUCACCCAGAGACCCGGGUUCGAGUCCCGGUGUGGGAA
rnacentral:tRNA from 1 species